rnacentral:rRNA from 1 species
UACGGAGGGUGCGAGCGUUAAUCGGAAUACUGGCGGUAAGACGCAGCAGCGGUUAUGAGGCUAAGUAUGUGAAGACCCCGGGCUCAACCUGGGAACUGCAUUUUGAACUGGCAGACUAGAGUCUUGGAGAGGGGGGUGGAAUUCCAGGUGUAGCGGUGAAAUGCGUAGAGAUCUGGAGGAACAUCAGUGGGCGA